rnacentral:rRNA from 1 species
AUAUUGCACAAUGGGGGAAACCCUGAUGCAGCGACGCUACGUGAGUGAAGAAGUAUUUCGGUAUGUAAAGCUCUAUCAGCAGGGAAGAAAAUGAAGGUACCUGAUUAAGAAGCUCUGGUUAACUACGUGCCAGUAGCCGCGGUAAUACGUAGGGGGCAAGCGUUAUCCGGAUUUACUGGGUGUAAAGGGAGCGUAGACGGCAGCACAAGUCUGGAGUGAAAUGCCGGGGCUUAACCCCGGAACUGCUUUGGAAACUGUGCAGCUAGAGUGCAGGAGAGGUAAGUGGAAUUCCUAGUGUAGCGGUGAAAUGCGUAGAUAUUAGGAGGAACACCAGUGGCGAAGGCGGCUUACUGGACUGUAACUGACGUUGAGGCUCGAAAGCGUGGGGAGCAAACAGG